GACGAACGCUGGCGGCGUGCUUAACACAUGCAAGUCGAACGGUGAAGCCCUUCGGGGUGGAUCAGUGGCGAACGGGUGAGUAACACGUGAGCAACCUGCCCCUGGCUCUGGGAUAACCACCGGAAACGGUGGCUAAUACUGGAUGCGACACCUGCACGCAUGUGCUGGGUGUGGAAAGAUUUUUUGGCUGGGGAUGGGCUCGCGGCCUAUCAGCUUGUUGGUGGGGUGAUGGCCUACCAAGGCGACGACGGGUAGCCGGCCUGAGAGGGCGACCGGCCACACUGGGACUGAGACACGGCCCAGACUCCUACGGGAGGCAGCAGUGGGGAAUAUUGCACAAUGGGCGAAAGCCUGAUGCAGCGACGCCGCGUGAGGGAUGACGGCCUUCGGGUUGUAAACCUCUUUCAGCAGGGAAGAAGCUUCGGUGACGGUACCUGCAGAAGAAGCACCGGCUAACUACGUGCCAGCCGCCGCCGUAACAC
rnacentral:rRNA from 1 species